rfam:Caenorhabditis remanei strain PB4641 contig20.27, whole genome shotgun sequence.
CCCUCUACUACCGUCCACCCGUACAUAUGUUUCCGUGCUUGACAUUGUGCUCAAUCACGUUACAAUAUAUGGGUCGCCGGUCUUAGGCGGU